GAUGAACGCUGGCGGCGUGCCUAAUACAUGCAAGUAGAACGCUGAAGCUUGGUGCUUGCACCGAGCGGAUGAGUUGCGAACGGGUGAGUAACGCGUAGGUAACCUGCCUCUUAGCGGGGGAUAACUAUUGGAAACGAUAGCUAAUACCGCAUAAAAGUCGAUAUCGCAUGAUGUUGAUUUGAAAGGUGCAAUUGCAUCACUAAGAGAUGGACCUGCGUUGUAUUAGCUAGUUGGUGAGGUAACGGCUCACCAAGGCGACGAUACAUGGCCGACCUGAGAGGGUGAUCGGCCACACUGGGACUGAGACACGGCCCAGACUCCUACGGGAGGCAGCAGUAGGGAAUCUUCGGCAAUGGGGGCAACCCUGACCGAGCAACGCCGCGUGAGUGAAGAAGGUUUUCGGAUCGUAAAGCUCUGUUGUAAGAGAAGAACGAGUGUGAGAGUGGAAAGUUCACACUGUGACGGUAACUUACCAGAAAGGGACGGCUAACUACGUGCCAGCAGCCGCGGUAAUACGUAGGUCCCGAGCGUUAUCCGGAUUUAUUGGGCGUAAAGCGAGCGCAGGCGGUUAGAUAAGUCUGAAGUUAAAGGCUGUGGCUUAACCAUAGUACGCUUUGGAAACUGUUUAACUUGAGUGCAGAAGGGGAGAGUGGAAUUCCAUGUGUAGCGGUGAAAUGCGUAGAUAUAUGGAGGAACACCGGUGGCGAAAGCGGCUCUCUGGUCUGUAACUGACGCUGAGGCUCGAAAGCGUGGGGAGCAAACAGG
rnacentral:rRNA from 1 species